UUUCGAAUCAUUCACAAUGGGCGAAAGCCUGAUGGUGCGACGCCGCGUGAGGGAUGAAGGUCUUCGGAUUGUAAACCUCUGUCACUGGGGAGAAAACGCUUUGAGUUAAUAGUUCAAAGCCUGAUUUAACCCGGAGAGGAAGCAGUGGCUAACUCUGUGCCAGCAGCCGCGGUAAUACAGAGACUGCAAGCGUUAUUCGGAUUCACUGGGCGUAAAGGGUGCGCAGGCGGCCGUGUGUGUAAGGUGUGAAAUCCCGGGGCUCAACCCCGGAACUGCGCCUUAAACUACAUGGCUAGAGUAUUGGAGAGGGUAGUGGAAUUCACGGUGUAGCAGUGAAAUGCGUAGAUAUCGUGAGGAACACCAGAGGCGAAGGCGACUACCUGGACAAUUACUGACGCUC
rnacentral:rRNA from 1 species